UACGUAGGUUGCGAGCGUUGUCCGGAAUUAUUGGGCGUAAAGGGCUCGUAGGCGGUUUGUCGCGUCGGGAGUGAAAACUCAGGGCUUAACCCUGAGCCUGCUUCCGAUAUGGGCAGACUAGAGGUAUGCAGGGGAGAACGGAAUUCCUGGUGUAGCGGUGAAAUGCGCAGAUAUCAGGAGGAACACCGGUGGCGAAGGCGGUUCUCUGGGCAUUACCUGACGCUGAGGAGCGAAAGUGUGGGGAGCGAACAGG
rnacentral:rRNA from 1 species